GACUUUUACAUUAAACAAAUAACUACCUAAAGUCAACAUGCUGCUGCUCGUUGUAUCUAUUUUUAUGCUAGGGUCAUAUGACGUUCUUGGACAAUGUAAAGAUCGAGACUUCGAUGCCCUGUUUUUUAGGUAUGAAGGGCAGACGUGGACACAGGGUUGCGAUAGAUGUGUCUGUCAGAACACAAACAUAACCUGCAGUGGUGGGCCUAUUUGUACCAUGCCUUAUAGUGAAGAUUUAAAGAGGACAUGUCUUCGGUGGACUGAUGACAAAUGUUGUUGCUUAAAAGUAGGAUGUCGGUCUGAGAUAGACCAUAAAGAAUAUAAUUUUGGGGAUUUCAUGCCAAUGGACCAGAAUGGUUGUAAAUCAUGUCGCUGCGAAGCCCAUAGCCGAGGUCUCUGUAAAUAUGACAUGGCCAAAGCUGGCUGUAGUGCAGUUGUUAAGCCUAAGCAGAAAAUGUCGUUGGAGUAACUAGAUACAAGUAAGUGAUAGAUGGUGGUCUGAUGUGCCGAAACUUUAAUAAAGUUCUGUUUAAAAUAUAA